rnacentral:rRNA from 1 species
CAGCAGCCGCGGUAAUACGAAGGGGGCUAGCGUUGUUCGGAUUUACUGGGCGUAAAGCGCACGUAGGCGGAUCGAUCAGUCAGGGGUGAAAUCCCAGAGCUCAACUCUGGAACUGCCUUUGAUACUGUCGAUCUGGAGUAUGGAAGAGGUGAGUGGAAUUCCGAGUGUAGAGGUGAAAUUCGUAGAUAUUCGGAGGAACACCAGUGGCGAAGGCGGCUCACUGGUCCAUUACUGACGCUGAGGUGCGAAAGCGUGGGGAGCAAACAGGAUUAGAUACCCCAGUAGUCCCUGUCUCUUAUAU